UACGUAGGGCGCAAGCGUUGUCCGGAAUUAUUGGGCGUAAAGAGCUCGUAGGCGGUUUGUCGCGUCUGUCGUGAAAGCCCACGGCUUAACCGUGGGUCUGCGGUGGAUACGGGCAGACUAGAGGCAGGUAGGGGAGAAUGGAAUUCCUGGUGUAGCGGUGAAAUGCGCAGAUAUCAGGAGGAACACCGGUGGCGAAGGCGGAUCUCUGGGCCUUACCUGACGCUCAGGUGCGAAAGCUAGGGGAGCAAACAGG
rnacentral:rRNA from 1 species